AAUUUUUUCAAAAUUUAUCCAGAUUUUCUGAAUCUUCUUAUAAAGGAAAAAUAUCUUAUGCCUGCAUAAAUGAAAGGAGACCAAGAUUAUUGACUUAUUCAUUUAGCAAAUACAUAGUGAGCCCCUAUCCUCCACUAGGCAUUGUGCUAAAUACUAAGGAUAUAGUAAUGAUAAGAUACAUAAUCCUUUACCUCAUCAGGCUCUGCUCCUAGUGGGUAGACAAAAGAAAAGCAGAAAAAGAUGACAACACAACGGGCUGAAAUGACCAUAAUACCGGUAUGUGCCAGGUACUGAGAGAGGACGAAGGCUUCACGAGCGUGUUUGAAACCAAGACUUGAUAGGAAUUUUACUUUAACGGAAGAUAGCGGUGAGGGCUUGAACACUAAGGAAUUAAUGAGAGAUCAGCCCCUUUAGCGACUCAAAGCAUAUUAUAACUCCAGCUGGUCAAAAAGAGAGGAAAUAAAUAAUAUAACAGGAACAACUGGAAGAGCAAGUGCAGCAUCAGGUUGGUGCAUUUCUUCUGAUCAAAAGGUCGAAUUGCAACUGGUCUUUGAAGAGUGUGCUGGUGACAGUGUGCAACCUUUGCAGUAGCUCCUGGACUGGCCCUAGACUGCUGUCAAAUUAAACCAGCACUGUAAAGAAGAGAGCAAGUUGAAUGAAGUUGAAUGAAGGGGCAUCUUAAUUCCAAUCCUGGCUCUAAUGCUGACUGUAAGCAUGACCCCGGAUGAGUUAUUCACUCUCUCAGUCUCAGUCUCCUCAUCCACAAAGCAGGGAUCACAAUAAAUGAAUAGCACCUUUCACAGAACCCACCAUAUAUACUGAGUGUUCAAUAAAUACCGUGUUCAUCAUCUAACAUCAUAACACAUUGAGCAUCCAUCAAAGCAGAAGUAGUUCGCACCUGGAUAUUUCUGUUUCUUUUUUUUUUUUUGCUAUCCUACUGGUGUUUUACUUAAAUUUAGUGUGGUAAUAUGAAAGAAAAUUA
rnacentral:lncRNA from 10 species